UGGAUGAGGUUAAGAUUCUAUGACAAUAAAGGAAAGGGCAGAUUCAGAUUCAAGAGAUAUUUAAGAAAUUGGGAUCAGCUGAACUCGUUGAGUCCUCCCUUGUGGAAGGUAAGAGAGGGAAGAAUCAGAUAUUUGCUCUCAAGUGUUGAGCUUAAGAAAAUGAGUGGAUGUUACACUUCUCACGGUGAUGUCCAUCCUCGGCUGGGUGCUGGGGAUUCAGCAAUGAACAACAGGUCCUUGUCACUGUUAGUGAGAAAAGAAGGCUUGACACAAUAGCUACAAGUAUGGCAUCUGUCGUGAAAGAGGAAGCAUAGCUAUCUAUCCAGGAGAAGUCUAGGAUGGAGACCUCUGAAAGCCAUCAGUAUAUAGUCAAGAGCUGACAUCAUAAAGAUGAAUGAGGUGGCCAGGAGAGGAUGGCAAAUGAGAGAAGGAGAGGGUUGCAGACAGAAAUGUGGGCAUCCCACUAUGAGAAGAAGAGCAGAGGAGCCCAUGAAGGAAUGGUCAGCAAAUCAUGGAGGGAGAAUCAAGGCAUCAAGGGAGGAACUUCAAGAAGAAGAAUGAAGUGGCCAGGACAUGCUAUGGAGAACUUAAAUAAGAUAAAGCCUCAGAGUUGUCCCUAGGUCUUGUGACAUGGAAGACUUUGUGAUGCUUACAAGAACUGCUAGUGGCAUGGGUGAAGCCUCAUAGGAGUGUGUUGAGAACGAAGGACAAGUUACAAGGGAAGACAACCAAAGAUGACAUCUUCCUGAUGCUUGGUCCUUGAAGAAAUGAUAGAGGAAAGGAAAUAGACACAGGAUAAAGGGCAAGUGCUUGAAAAUGGGAGGCAUUGGAACACUUUGAGUAAUGAAUGAAAAGAAGCUAGUAGAGAAGGAGGAGUUGAAAAUGAAGCAGAGAAAGGCUAAAUUAUGGAGCUAUGUCCAUUAAGGUCAGGAGAGCGGGGGUCCAUUGGUAAGUCUUGAGUGAGCUUUAAACAAGGAGAAGGUGGUUUUUCUUCAAAGCGAAAUGGAGAGAGGUAAGAGUGUGUAUGGAUGUAUGGAAACAAGGAAGUGGAGGCUGAGAGGAACCGAGGGGUUCUAAGACAGAAAUUCAACUUUUUAGAUGUCACGAAAAUUGUCAGUCUUGAUCAUUUUGAUAUUUAUAUCCCGUAACAUACUAUCCUCCUACUUAACCUUUUAGCUUAUAAGAUUAAGAAAAAUGAUAAAAAAUUUAAAAAAAUAGUGGUUCCAAAAUGAAGUGAAUGUCAAACAUGAAAAAUGGACACAAUUUUUAAUGGUCUUCCCUAGGGCUUUAUAUUUAAACAAGGCAAGGGCCUCUGAACCCUAUAGAUCACAACAGGAACAUGAUUCCAGAAAAUUCUGAGGUCAUGUCAUUCUUGGAGAUUUUUCUAACAAACAGAAGCUUUGCUGUGGACUUCUAUAAAUAUUUAUCUGCCAUGACUCUUACCCACAGGAGGUUAAAGAUCUCUGAAUUUUGGAUGAGAAUGCAUGACUGUGUGAUUUGACCUGAAUUAGCCGGCAAAAAGAAAUCUUCAGAUUUUAAACUACUAAGUGCAACAAAAUAAUGACAUCUUUUGCAAACAUUACAAGAUAAUAGGAGGUGGUCCGGUCAUUUAUGAAACACUGAGAUAUAUGGAAAUGUUGUGUUCUGAAUUGCCCGUGUGAGACGGCAGUGUCCCAGCAAACGGCUGACCACUCUAGUUCCGCAGCAUGAUAAUUUGUGGAUGUUUUCUCCAGUCGGCUUUUUCAAGGUCAAGAUUGAGGGCGAUCCUGAGAAGAGAGCCGUGGCCACCGCCUACACCCCGUUCCCAGCCAACUGUCUAAAGAUGUGUGCUGAUGUUCACACGUUAGAGGACGAGCAGAAAUUAGGCAGGGACAAGUGCAAAUGUACUCCUGAGAGUGACAGGCUAAUUCACCAUCUACCUACUCCGGCCCAGAAGAUGGCAAACCUGUGGCAUCAUCUCCAUAAAGGAAGGAGAGUCUGUUAUUGUAGACGCCAAUUAGUGAGGGGAAAAAAGAAUUGCUAGUUUGAAAGCACUUUGUCACUUCGAAAAUCAAGCUCAGCAAACAGGGGCACAUACAAUGCAAUUUUGAAAUACUGCAUAACUGUCAUAUUUUGGCAGGUUUGGCAAUAUUUCCAUUUAUGUGAAAGUGUGUGAUGCUAAUUUUACUGUACUUAUAUCUAGGUGCUUCUGUUGAUAAUUGGCCAGAAGUUAAAAGGCUCUGUGUAGUUAAGCCAAAAUUCCAUCCACACAAAUGAAAUAAAGGAUAUUUACUUUGA